GUACACUUUACACAGUGAAGAACAGGGAAACCCUAAAGGGCACAAAUCUCGGAUGAUCAGCCUUCCCAGACUACAAUGGGCCCAAUUGUCUAGCACCAAUAUAGCCAUCCAUACAGAUCACACAGAAUCAAAAUGGGCUAAUAAUGUGAAAUUACAUCCUCCUUGGGUGGCCUCUAGAUGUGAAAAACGGGUGACUCAGAGCUUCACGAGCAGUCAAACGAUCAGAAGGCUCAUAUCUCAGAAGACCUUGUAAGAGGUCAAUAAGAUCUCCAGCAGAGUGAUCAACAUACUCCAUCACAAGGUUCUGCAGGCGGGGUAACUUGGUAACAGCUUUGAUGCUGUCUCUCGAAGUGGCACCUUCAGGCCAGUUCAAUCGGCCUCUUCUAAUAUACUUGUCAGCAUGUCGAUCAGCUUUUCUCAACAUAUGUUGAGGUAAAGGACCCAGUACUCGCUCCAUCAUAGCCAAAUGCUCCAAGUUCUCAUGGGUCUGAAAUAAUGCUUCUCCCGAACAAAGCUCAACAAGGAUACAGCCCAAACUCCAAAUAUCACAAGGAAAGCUCCAACCAAGUCCCAAUAUAACCUCAGGAGCUCGGUAGUGCCUUGUUGACACUAUGUAAGUAUGAUCUCUGUUGUCAUAUGUCGUGCUACCAAAAUCAAUUACUU
rnacentral:misc_RNA from 1 species